rnacentral:rRNA from 1 species
UACGUAGGGUGCGAGCGUUAAUCGGAAUUACUGGGCGGAAAGCGUACGCAGGCGGUUCGUUGUGUCUGUGGUGAAAGCCCCGGGCUUAACCUGGGAAUGGCCAUGGAAACUGGCGAGCUGGAGUGUGGCAGAGGGGGGUGGAAUUCCGCGUGUAGCAGUGAAAUGCGUAGAGAUGCGGAGGAGCACCGAUGGCGAAGGCAGCCCCCUGGGUUGACACUGACGCUCAGGCACGAAAGCGUGGGGAGCAAACAGG